UCCAUGAACUGACGGAUGGUGGUGAUCUCACGUAGGAUGCCUUCCAUGACGGGAGGCCCGGUGUCCCGCGUGGACAGCCCCAAGCCCAGGUUUCUCCCGGAGUCUCUAGAUCCCUCGCAGCUGUGAUGGUUGCAGUGAACCGCUUAAAAAAUCAGAGAGCGGCAGGUCAGAUCCCUGCGAGACGAGCGAGCAGACCUUCUUGUUGCGAAUGCAGAGCAGGACUGUGGCCUUCUCCAGCACCAGGUGUUUGACCCACUGUGGCACACGAGACUGAAGAUCCUGCUUGUGCACCAGCCUCACGAUCAAAACAGACUCGACUGGUCCAUAUCAUCCAGUGUCUUCAUCGAAGUGAAAGCGCUCUCAAUAAAGCUGUGGUCCAUUGAGCCAUAUUUGUCUAGCAAGCAAGCAGACAUGGACAUCUCCUUGACUUCGUUCUCACUGUAAUGCAAAAGCUUCACUACAAAAAUGGACAAUGACAAACUAAGCACCAGCAGCGCCAUGCAAACAGCAAAGAAGACUCCUAUGUGAAGCCCAGGAGAAUGCUGGUCUUGAAAGUGAUGCGAGUUCCACUGUUUGGAGGCAGAUAGAAACUGGUGACAUCCACCACCAUGAAGAAGAUGCUCGGGAUGAGCAGACUUACCACGUACAGCAGGGGGCGCCUGCGGAUCAGCACCUUCAGAGAGAGACAGAGUGGCUGGGAUUGAACGCUCUCUGGGUGAUAUUUAUUUCAUCACUUGCCAUCAGAAAAAUGUGCUCUCGAAGCAGUCUAAAAUGGCUGUGUCUGAAGGGGAAUUACAUAACAAGCUUAAGCCUUCUCCCCAUUUCCUGGAUUUGCUAAAUCAGUCCAAUUUCUCAUUCUAGAAGUGAAAUUGUUUUCCCACACCUCAGCUCCCCCUGAGAACCCAACUUCACUGCCAUUGAGCUAUUUCCUCUCGCUGCCCCUCAUCUGGAUCAGGACCAUCCAUUUCACUUUCCUUAUUUAAGUUUGCUUAAGCUUUCACAGUACAACAAAGAGCAAUUUCAUACUGACUUAAACAUGUUCCCCACCCAUUUGGCCAAUGAGUAAAAACACAAAUAUGGAUCUCUAAAUGGCUUUCGGCAAUGAGCCGCAGAGCAAAGGUAAUCAAAGAACACCGCUGUUUCCAUGGUGUGCGCAUCUUAGUGGAACAGGGUGGAUUGCCCAUGAGCUUUGAGCUAUUGGCCCAUUCCUCCCACUGAACACGACGCUCAUUGAUCAAAUGCCAGAAAGACAGUCUCAUUAUCAUCAUCCUUGCUGUGUGUUGUCUGCUGCUAAGCCUCAUCUAUUAGUAUUAUAGCAUUAGUGUGACUCCACUAACAGCCAUGCAAAGGUUGGAGAAGGGUUGUGACACGUCAGACUGCUGUCAAUACUCUAGCGUGUCCGGCAGACUGUUACGUGCCUAAUCUCUCCAUCAGCCUCCAAAAUUAACAUCUGUCAAACACCAGUCAAAUUUGGCAGUGAUGAGUAAAUAAAAAUGUAUAUUGAAAUUAAAAAAUGUAUAUUGAAAUUAAAAAAAUGUAAAUAAAAUGUAAUUCAAUUUAAAUUUAAAAACAAUAUAUAUUUUUUUUAAUUAAAUCAUUUUAAAGUUGCAAUGUGCAGGAAGUAGUGACAGAUCUUUUCUUCCAUACUGUGACGUGCAUCUGAGUUAAACGAUUGUUGUAAAAGAAAAAAAUGCCGGGCAGAGACUUAGUUUUUAUCCAUGGUUGUUGACUGAAUGUGAACUUGCAAUCGACUGUAAUAAAGGGCCAGGGUUAAAGCAGACAAAAUGAUUGGAGAUGUCUAAUCCAAAACUCCAAAUACUACAUCUAAUUUAACCCACAUACAUUCAGUACACUCAUGUAAAGCAACAUAAAAAUCUCAACUGCUUGGAUACUUACAUCGUUCCAAAAAGUAAACUAUAUUAUCUGACAGCAAUAUAUUUAAAGGGUUAGUUCACCCAAAAAUGAAAUUUCUGUCAUUAAUUACUCACCCUCAUGUAGUUCCACACCCGUAAGACCAAAACAUCUUCAGAACACACAAUUAGAACAUUCUGACGUAGAACCUGGAAGCACUGAAUGUAAAUAGCGUAUGAGAAUGACAGGGAAGAGAAGAAUUUGUUGAAUAAAGCCAUUUUUUUUUAAGUAUUCUCGUAUUAAAGUAUUCUCGUCACUUCAUAACAUUAAGAUUGAACCACUGUAGUCACGCUGACUAUUUUAACAAAUGUAUUUUUUUGUUUUUGCUACUUUUCUGGACCUUGGAUGUGGUAAUUUCGUUGCCUUCUUUGGAGGUUAAAAAAAACUUCUUGGAUUUCAUCAAAAAUAUCUUAAUUUGUGUUCCGAAGUUGAACGAAGGUCUUACGGGUGUAGAACGACAUGAGGGUGAGUAAUUAAUCACAGAAAUUGAAUUUUUGGGUGAACUAACCCUUUAAAUUUGGAUAUAUAUAUAGUGCGUACAUACAGUACACUCAUGUAAAACAAAUAUAUAUAUAUAUAUAUAUAUAUAUAUAUAUAUAUAUAUCUUGGCUAUAUGAUUUAAAUUUUAUACUAAUUCAUUUUAUUAGUAUAAUUACAGUAUCCGCAUAGUCGCACUCAUGUAAAGCGAUAUACACUACAUCGCCCAGCUAAAUGCUUUAAGAUAUUAAUAUAUUACAAACAUUAACGUUUUCUGAUUUUCUGCUGCUUUGAAACAAUGUAUAUUGUAAUUGAAAUUGAAAAAUUGAAAUCUAAAGCUGCCAUUGAAUGUCAUUUUUAC